GAUGAACGCUGGCGGCGUGCCUAAUACAUGCAAGUCGAACGAGGUGCUUUUGUAGCAAUACGAGAGUAUCCUAGUGGCGAACGGGUGAGUAACGCGUUGGUGACCUACCCCAAAGUGUGGGAUAACAGUCCGAAAGGAUUGCUAAUACCGCAUGUGGCCUUCGGAUUUAGAAACUGAUGACUAAAGGAGCAAUUCGCUUUGGGAGGGACCUGCGUCCCAUCAGCUAGUUGGUGAGGUAAUGGCUCACCAAGGCUACGACGGGUAGGGGACCUGAGAGGGUGACCCCCCACAAUGGAACUGAAACACGGUCCAUACACCUACGGGUGGCAGCAGUAGGGAAUAUUGCACAAUGGGCGAAAGCCUGAUGCAGCAACGCCGCGUGUGCGAUGAAGGCCUUCGGGUCGUAAAGCACUUUUCUGGGAGAUGAGCAAGGACAGUAAUCUCAGGAAUAAGUCUCGGCUAACUACGUGCCAGCAG
rnacentral:rRNA from 1 species